UACAGGGGGGGCAAGCGUUGUUCGGAAUUACUGGGCGUAAAGGGUCUGUAGGUGGCCAACUAAGUCAGACGUGAAAUCCCUCAGCUUAACUGGGGAACUGCGUCUGAUACUGGAUGGCUCGAGUGUGGGAGAGGAAUGCGGAAUUCCAGGUGUAGCGGUGAAAUGCGUAGAUAUCAGGAGGAACACCGGUGGCGAAGGCGGAUCUCUGGGCCAUUACUGACGCUGAGGAGCGAAAGCGUGGGGAGCGAACAGG
rnacentral:rRNA from 1 species